GGUGAUUUCCAGGCAUGUUUUCACUCUGCAGAUAUAAUAACAGUCAACAGACUCUUCUAUUGGCUCCAGUUAGACCAACAUUGAUGUUUCAUGUGUUUGAUUCUAUGCAAACUCAGUGACCUUCCUUGUUACUCAGCUAUAAAAACUUCCCAUCAGGCUGUCAGUGGAGUUCACAGCACGUCACUUUCAACAUAAACCAUGUUUUCUUUAGCUCUGCUGCUGCUGUUGGCAGCUGGAUCUGUGAAGUGUGAACAGUUGACACAGCCAGCCUCUGUGACUGUGCAGCCAGGUCAACGUCUGACCAUCACCUGUCAGGUCUCUUAUUCUGUUAGCAGCUACUGGACAGCUU